AAUGCUCCAAAUUCACCAUGAUCGAUUACCCGGGAGAGUCUGAAUUGUAGGGACUAAAUCCCCAAUCUAUUCCCUAAUUUCUAUUUUUGAAGUAGGGGUUGUGAUUUCUGAUGUGAUUGUGGUUAUUCUUUGCAUUAAGGGAUUGAAGAGAUUUCAGACUGUGUUCGUGGAGAGCGAGGUUGCGAAUCACCUGAGAAGAAAGAAGACAUCGACCAUUACAACUCAUUCGUCGUGCUUGAACCUAAGACCAUGGAGAAGCUCUAGUGGACAACACAAUCAGUUAUGGCUUUUUGAUUGAAUUUUGUAUGGGUCUAUGCCUAUCAUAUCAUCUCUAAUCCAAGAUCCCCAAUUUCAGCACUGAGUAGGAGGCUGAAACCAUGGCAGUGAUUGAACCCAAGAAGAUCAUCAUUGAGAUCCUGGUAUCGAAUCGCUCGAUUUCAUCGAUCAAUAUUGGUCAAAAGCCAUGUUAUUUUUCGGCCUAAGCCAACCUCAAGGCUUUGGUGAUUCGAGGUUGGCUUAGAUGGAGUGGCGGAUCUGUUGUAGCGUUCUCCGACGGUGACGGUUUGGAUCUACGAGGCCCUUCGAUGGGGCAGGCAGGGGUGCUCGCGGUAUGUUGCUCAAGGAAAUGGGAUAUAAGGAUAAUCAACCGGAUGCAUUGAGUUACUCUGUUGGUUACAUCUCCAGUGGCCAUUUCAAUCCCGCAAUCACUAUUGCUUUUCCAUGGAAACAGGUGAGCUAAUCAAACCAACCCAUGAUAUAUAUAUCCAACCCAAGGAGUUGUUGAAGUAUUCGAAUAAGGAGAGUUUUGUGAAGAAGAAUCGGUCCGGGUUUAGUCCCUUGCAUAUUGCUGCAACUCAAGGCCACCAUGCCAUUGUUCAGGUACUCCUGGAUCAUGACCCUGGGCUAAGCAGGACAAUUGGCCCAUCGAAUGCAACCCCACUUAUAUCUGCAGCUCAAAGAGGGCAUAUAGCUGUGGUUGAUGAACUGUUGUCAAAGGAUUCUACCUAGUUGGAGAUUUCAAGAUCAAAUGGGAAGAAUGCAUUGCAUCUGGCUGCAAGACCAGGGCAUGUGGAGAUUGUAAGAGCAUUGCUAAAUAGGGAUCCACAAUUGGCACGAAGGACUGACAAGAAAGGGCAAACUGCCUUGCAUAUGGCUGUUAAAGGGACAAGCUGUGAGGUGGUGAAAUAUAUACUGGAUGCAGAUGCUGCAAUUGUGAUGCUUCCUGACAAAUUCGGUAACACAGCAUUACAUGUAGCCACCAGGAAGAAGCGAGCUGAGAUAGUGAACGAGUUGUUAUCCCUCCCAGACAGCAAUGUUAAUGCACUGAACAGGGACCACAAAACCGCUCUUGACAUUGCUGAAGAGCUUCCACUUUCGGAAGAAUCAGCAGAAGUAAGGGCUUGCCUUUACAAAUACGGUGCUGUUAGAGCUAAUGAACUGAAUCAACCAAGGAGAGUGUUGUGAAGAAGAAUCGGUCCAUGUUUAGUCCCUUGCAUAUUGCUGCGAAUCAUGGCCAUCAUGGAGAAAGCGAUGGACUUUGUAAACUGGACUUGCAGUUCAAUGACGAAAGGAGAUAGAUGAGAAGCAAUUUCUGGUUUCAUAUGAAAGAAGACAGUAGUCAACUUUGGAGUCUUCUAGUCUAGGAGGAUUUGUAUUUAUAUAAUAUUCAAAAUAAUUAAGUUUUCCAUGAUAAUUUUUUUUUUAAAAUGAAAUAUAUUGAGUCACCAAUAGAA